rnacentral:rRNA from 1 species
AAAGGCUUAGUGGCGACGGGUGAGUAACGCGUGGGUAACCUGGCCCAUACAGGGGGAUAACACUUAGAAAUAGGUGCUAAUACCGCAUAACAACAGAAAGCGCAUGCUUUUUGUUUGAAAACCAAGGUGGUAUGGGAUGGACCCGCGUCUGAUUAGCUGGUUGGCGGGGUAAAGGCCCACCAAGGCGACGAUCAGUAGCCGGCCUGAGAGGGUGGACGGCCACAUUGGGACUGAGACACGGCCCAAACUCCUACGGAAGGCAGCAG